rnacentral:lncRNA from 1 species
AUGCUCAGGAGCACCCAGGGGUGCUGUGCCGUAGAAAAGGGGCACCCAGGGGUGCUGGUCCCACCUCGGGGCACCCAGGGGUGCCCAUCCCAUCCCCAGGAGCACCCAGGGGUGCUGUCCCGUAGAAAGGGGGCACCCAGGGGUGCCAGUCCCAUCCGCAGGGGCACCCAGGGGUGCUGGUCCCACCUCAGGGGGCACCCAGGGGUGCCCACCCCAUCUCUAGGAGCACCCAGGGGUGCUGGUCAUCUUUCUCGGGGGCACCCAGGGGUGCCCAUCCCCUUCCCAGGAGCACCCAGGGGUGCUAUACCAUACCCAGGGGGCACCCAGGGGUGCCACUCCUAUUCCCUGGGGCACCCAUGGGUGCUCCGUUGUGCUUUGGGGCACCCAGAGGUGCCCGACUCCUGCCCCAGGGACACCCAGGGGUGCCGGUCCCGUGCCUAGAGGCACCCAUGGGUGCCCAGGGGUUGCCCAGUCUUGCUCAUCCCGUCCCCACGAGCACCCAUGGGUGCCUGUACCCAACCCAAUGAGUCUUGGAGGACUCCAGGAGCACCCAUGGGUGCCCAUACUCAACCCAAUGAGUCUUGAAGGACCAGGGGCACCCAUGGGUGUCCGUAUCCAACCCCACAAGUCUUGGAGGGUCCCAAGAGCACCCAAGGGUGCCCAAACCCAACUGGAGAAGUCUUGGAGGACCCCAGGAGCACCCAAGGGUGCCCAUACCCAACCCCACGAGUCUUGGAGGGUCCCAAGAGCACCCAUGGGUGCCCAUACCCAACCCCACGAGUCUUGGAGGGUC